rnacentral:rRNA from 1 species
CCUACGGGGGGCUGCAGUGGGGAAUCUUGGACAAUGGGCGCAAGCCUGAUCCAGCCAUGCCGCGUGAGUGAAGAAGGCCUUAGGGUUGUAAAACUCUUUCGCCGGUGAAGAUAAUGACGGUAACCGGAGAAGAAGCCCCGGCUAACUUCGUGCCAGCAGCCGCGGUAAUACGAAGGGGGCUAGCGUUGUUCGGAAUUACUGGGCGUAAAGCGCACGUAGGCGGGUUUGUAAGUAGGGGGUGAAAUCCCAGGGCUCAACCCUGGAACUGCCUUCUAAACUGCAAGCCUGGAGGUCAGGAGAGGCGAGUGGAAUACCGAGUGUAGAGGUGAAAUUCGUAGAUAUUCGGUGGAACACCAGUGGCGAAGGCGACUCGCUGGACUGAUACUGACGCUGAGGUGCGAAAGCGUGGGGAGCAAACAGGAUUAGAUACCCCGGUAGUC